rnacentral:rRNA from 1 species
AGGAAUGAAAAAUCAUAACAAGGUUUCCGUAAGUGCACCUGYGGAAGGAUCAUUU